UGGACAGAUUAUUGUAUUCGACUGUAUUCGACCGUAUUCACGGCGUGAAACAGGGGAUUACACUGUUUUUAAACGGAAAGUGAAUCAAUUAACAUAAUAGACUCCU
rnacentral:pre_miRNA from 1 species